GAUGAAGAACGUAGUGAAAUGCGAUACGUAAUGUGAAUUGCAGAAUUCAGUGAAUCAUCGAGUCUUUGAACGCACAUUGCGCCCCCUGGUAUUCCGGGGGGCAUGCCUGUCCGAGCGUCAUUGCUGCCCUCAAGCACGGCUUGUGUGUUGGGCCUCCGUCCUCCUCCCGGGGGACGGGCCCGAAAGGCAGCGGCGGCACCGCGUCCGGUCCUCGAGCGUAUGGGGCUUCGUCACCCGCUCUUGUAGGCCCGGCCGGCGCUUGCCGACACAUCAAUCUUUUUUCCAGGUUGACCUCGGAUCAGGUAGGGAUACCCGCUGAACUUAAGCAUAUCAAAGCGGAGGA
rnacentral:misc_RNA from 1 species